rnacentral:rRNA from 1 species
CAGUAGCCGCGGUAACACAGAGGGUGCGAGCGUUAAUCGGAUUUACUGGGCGUAAAGCGUGCGUAGGCGGCUUCUUAAGUCGGAUGUGAAAUCCCUGAGCUUAACUUAGGAAUUGCAUUCGAUACUGGGAAGCUAGAGUAUGGGAGAGGAUGGUAGAAUUCCAGGUGUAGCGGUGAAAUGCGUAGAGAUCUGGAGGAAUACCGAUGGCGAAGGCAGCCAUCUGGCCUAAUACUGACGCUGAGGUACGAAAGCAUGGGGAGCAAACAGGAUUAGAGACCCGCGUAGUCCCUGUCUCUUAUAC